UUAAUUAGUAGUUAUCUAAAUUUUAGUUAUUUCUUUAAAUAAAGGUUGUUGGAGCAUCUCCAAAAAUCUUUUUAAAUACAAUAUGUUCUUUAUUUUAAAGAGAUAAUUCUUAAAAAUAAACUUCAAAACACUCUCUAUUUUAACUUUUAGUGGUCUCUAAUGUAAAUUACAGGAAUUACUGCACAGUUCAAAACACAAAUAUGCUUUUAUUUACCACUCUCUCUUUACAGUUGUAUCUUGAUUAAAGUCAUCUUUAUGUGGCCAGAUAUCACUAAGUCAAAUGCAAAUACACUGUUAGUUUUGUUUUUUGCAAUUUUCGAACUCAAGGACCUCAUUUGUUCAGGAGGUUUGUGUGGAGAUAUGUAGCAUAUCUAUAAAUGCUUCACAUAUGAGUCCAUAAUCCAGGCUAAAUAAUCACUCGUGUGAUUAUUGAGUAAAAAUGCAGCUCCUUUUUGAACCAGUUCUUAUCCAUAGAGGUAAAGGGAAGUUUAGUUUGAAAAGGCAGAAAAAUCAUUGAUUGGAAUUUACUUGCAUCUAUCUGUACUUUUGGAAAGUCCUUCGGAGAUUGUUAUUUAGUUGGAAUAGUUUCUUUUGGUAAAAAUAUUGACUUGAAAGUAUCAUGCUGUGAAGUUAUCGCAGAUGCAUAAAUUGAGUAUACAGAAGGAAAAUGCUAAUUUAUUUGAAGAAACUUCAUACUUUCUUCCGUCCCACCUCUUUUGGCUAUAUUCAGUUGAAGUUUACUCAGAUGUAAUAAUGUCUCUUCGUAGGGUCGUGGAACUUCACUGAAAAAUAUCCUAUCAAGAGAGAAUCAUGGACAAACAUUACUGAUAUUGGCUUACCAGAGUUCGGGUGUAGUGUAUGGGGAUUUAAGCAAUUCACCUUUGUUUGUUUUCAGUACUUUUGCAGAGGACAUUCAACAUUCAGAGUCUAAUGAGGAGAUUUAUAGGAUUUUAUCUAUUGUAUUUUUGACAUCAACUCUUAUUCCAUUGCUUAAGUAAGUUAUUAUAGUGAAUAGAGCUGAUGAUAAUAGUGAAGGUAGGACUUUUGCUUUGUAUCUCUGCUCUGCCGCUUUGCUUAAGUGAGUACUCUGCACAAUGGGCAGCUAGCCUAUGAGGAUUUGUAUGAUUACAAAAGAGAGGAAAUUUCUUGAGUGUUGAUUGAGGUACAGAAGGAGGGCUUCACAGAAGCCCUCUAGAAUAUACACAAACAUGUGGAGUCCGAUUAGUUUGGCAAUAUUUAAUUUACAUGGGCCCCACCUUUCAUGUGAGUAUCUGUAUCAUUUUCUGUACAAAUGGUUUUUUCCAAAUUUCAAUCACAUAAUUGGGUGGUCUUGAAUUGGGAUUGAGCUUAUGAUCAAAAUUGGAGAAGCACAGAUAGUUGCCAAAAAUAUUGUUGCAUUUGGCCUUAAUUGGAGCAUGUAUAGUGAUUGGAAAUGGAGUUCUUACUCCUGAGAUUUCUAGUAUAAAAUGAAAAUUUGCCUA